GGAGAGGUACCGAAGCGGUCAUAACGGGGCAGUCUUGAAAACUGUUAGAGCGCAAGCUCACGUGGGUUCGAGUCCCACUCUCUCCUCCA
rnacentral:tRNA from 1 species